rnacentral:rRNA from 1 species
AUGGCAGCCUCGUCGCCCAUCCCCUCAUACCUCCUCUUCUCCAAUAUCAACCCGGCUGCCGCCGUUGCUCCUACCCAAGCCGCAUCGUCGUACUACUGCUGCUACAACACCCCCCUGCUUGUCCACCAUUACCAGGCCCAGCAGGCAGCGCAGAUGUCCAUGCUGCUGCAGUGCAUGCAGCAGGCCGUCGCGCGGAGGAGGUGCGGCCGUACAGACGGCAAGAAGUGGCGCUGCGCCAGGGACGCCGAGCCCGACCAGAAGUACUGCCAGCGCCACCUGAACCGCGUCGGCCCGACACGGCCCCCUCCCCCUGCAAGAAAGCAACACCACCAGCAUGCAGCUGCUGCGGCGGAUGGUCAUCAUCGUGACCGGGACAAGUCCGCCAUGGUCACUCGUACCCGUCAUGGUGACAAGUCUCCCGGGAAUACCAUGCGGGAGGAUGACGACGACUACACGCGAGGCCUCUUGGACUUCACCGGUGGAGUUUGCCUCCCGAAGCAGCGAGAGAACCGGCUCAGCCUCAACUACGACAACAUUGGCGAGCUCUACUGCAAUAGGCAGGUGGGCGCCACGCCCACGGCCACAGUAUCGGCGGCGGCGUCAGCAACGGCCAUGGACGACGACGCCAUCGAUCAUGGGGCAGCAGCGACCUGGGUGGGUAUCGGGGGACCCCUCGGCGAGGCGCUCGGUCUCGCCGUAGAGAUUCAGUGGCCUGGUGGCUCCACCUAG